rfam:Gasterosteus aculeatus cont1.006180, whole genome shotgun sequence.
UUGAAAGUGUAAUGUAAGUCGCUUUGGAUAAAAGCAUCUACUAAAUGACCUGUA